UACGUAGGGUGCGAGCGUUGUCCGGAAUUAUUGGGCGUGAAGGGCUCGUAGGCGGUUUGUCGCGUCGGGAGUGAAAACCUCGGGCUUAACUCGGGGCUUGCUUUCGAUACGGGCAGACUGGAGGUAUGCAGGGGAGAACGGAAUUCCUGGUGUAGCGGUGAAAUGCGCAGAUAUCAGGAGGAACACCGGUGGCGAAGGCGGUUCUCUGGGCAUUACCUGACGCUGAGGAGCGAAAGUGUGGGGAGCGAACAGG
rnacentral:rRNA from 1 species